rnacentral:rRNA from 1 species
UGGGGAAUAUUGGACAAUGGGGGCAACCCUGAUCCAGCCAUGCCGCGUGAGUGAUGAAGGCCUUCGGGUUGUAAAGCUCUUUUGGCGGGGACGAUGAUGACGGUACCCGCAGAAUAAGCCCCGGCUAACUUCGUGCCAGCAGCCGCGGUAAGACGAAGGGGGCUAGCGUUGUUCGGAAUUACUGGGCGUAAAGCGAGUGUAGGCGGUUGCCGUAGUCAGGUGUGAAAGCCUUGAGCUCAACUCAAGAAAUGCACUUGAUACUGGGUGACUAGAGGACCGGAGAGGAUAGUGGAAUUCCCAGUGUAGUGGUGAAAUACGUAGAGAUUGGGAAGAACACCAGUGGCGAAGGCGGCUAUCUGGACGGUUACUGACGCUAAGACUCGAAAGCGUGGGGAGCAAACAGG